rnacentral:lncRNA from 1 species
UUAGAAUCAAGAUGCUUGUUUAAACAAGACUAUAUGCUAACAAGGUAAAUGACAGUAGACUGGAAUAAGCGUGAUGAUACGACACCAAAAGGCUUAAAGAAGUGGCUUAUUUUAUCAAUUGAAUUAAAUUAAGAAAACAUGGUUUCAGAUAUUCGGGUUUAUCCCUUAUAAAAGCUACCUUUGUAAAACAUGGGUUUUAUUCCAUCUAUUUAAUAAAUAAAAUUCGGUGUUUUCUAAACUCUGAUAUUUUCCCUAACUCACGGUCCUGAUGAACAUUUCUGCUGCAAUAUUUUUAAAAUAACCACCGGUACCACUUGACGGCUCGCGGCUUCCAUCCAGGGUGUGGAUGGGGGUCGUGACAGCCAGGUUUUCGAUAAAUAUGGUUCAAGCGACGGUAAUGACACCAGGUUUUCAGACACAGCAACCGCGCGUAACCAUCGAUUGUCUUUGUUGAUUAUAUCAUCGGAGAAUCCUCAUUAUCUAGUUGUCUAUGUUGAUUUCAGUCAAUAUCUCAUCAAGUGUAAGUUAUAAAUCUACUAAAAGCUUCUUUCUUUUCUUCAUAUAAAUUCAUUUGCAUGUGUAAUGUUUGUUAAACUGGAUAGAUGUAUUUGAGUGCAUUUGGUAUAAUAGUGUGUGUUUCAUGUUGUAGUAAUAAGAGGAUUAUAAAAAAAUUGAUUGCUUGACCUGAUUAGGAUGGGUGUUAAAUUAGGGUUCCUAAAGCUAAAUUGGGGGGGUUUUAUUUAGUUGGCUCCAAGUGGUAUUCUUGUGAUGAAAGGGUUAUAGAAUUGAUGAAGGAACCUUAGAACUCCCUUAUUCACAUAAUAUACAAAAAGAUGUCAUUGAAUGAAUAAUAUACAUGUUUAAUAGCAAGUUGUUAUAAGAACUAGGCUAGUCUAGUUCAAAAGGUGACCGAGGUAUUUGCAGAGUUAACAUAUCUUUUAAAUGGAGAAAUAGAUUCACCCGUUGUAGGUUGUAUUUCUAUAUCAUACUACCUACAACAGUGAUUGUUCAGUUUAUACCAGGCCUGGCAAAAGAGUCCAGCCUGCUUAAAACGGGUCAUCUAAUUAAAGUGUCAGUUUGGUCGGGUUAAAAUGGUUGAACAUAAACAAAAGGCAGGUAUCAAAGGGGAUAUAAAUUUACUACUAAAACUGGCAUUUCAGUUGCAUUCAGGUACAACAUAAGUGGUAAAAGGAAUGCUUAUUCUUAUUUAGGUACAGCUUCCGAACUGGUACCCGGUACCAUUUGCUCAUCCUUACUCGCAAACAUAUGCACAACUGUUAAAAAUCAUUUCCUAAUAAAAUUAGAUCAUCAAAGUGAACCGGAUCGUGUAUAAUGUUAUGGACCAGCUUGAGUUAUGACUAAGAGGGUGUUUGGGGUUGAGUUUUGAAGGAGAUUUUUAGAUUAUUGAGUUUUGAAAUCAUAAAUUAUCAGUUUUGAGUGUUUGGGUAAAAAAAAUUAAAAAAUUGAUUGUUUGCGUUUAGAAAGUUACAAAACGCAGUUUUCCAAAAGCAACUCCCCCCUACUGCAACAAAACGCAGUUUUCCAAAAAUUGAUUAUUUGCGUUUUUAAAAGGAUUUUCACUUGUUUAUUUUUAAAUAUAUAUUUGCCAAAUACUCAAAUAGUUGAUUAUCUGAUUAUUGUGAUAUCAAGCAACAUAAUCAAAUCCAAACACUAUCUUUCAACAUCACGUUUUGUUACAGUUAAUUAUCUGAUUCUGGUUAUUCAAAACGCGCAAUCUAUUUUCAAAACUCAACCCUAAACACCCUCUAAAAUAAAGUAUUUUUGAAGAGUUCUGCUUACCCAGGUGUUUUAAUUUGUUCCCAAAAAUUCAUAGUUUCAUAUAUGUACAGCUUCUUCUUUCCUCAAAAUGGUGAUAAUAUCUUAACCCAAUCUUACAAAAUCUGCAGGAAGACUCCUGUCAUAUGAGACACACUUGUAUCACAACAAAGCAUUUGAAUAAACAUUGUUAUCAAUUAUUAGAACACAUAAGUUUUACAUAGUCAAUUAUGUCGUUAAAAAAUAGGGAAGUUUUAGUCACCGCAUUAGUAGCUUGUUGCUGACUCUGGCUAUAGGGCUUCAAAGUUGUAUAGACAUCUUAAAUUAGCUGCAUUGGAAUCAAAGAAGAUGGAUGUCACACCCACAAAAUACCACCUAGGGAAUGUCCCUGUUAGGCGUGUGACAUACCAAUAACGAGCCACUAAUUACAUUGAACGCGUACAAGUUUCAAAAUAAAUUCCGUAAUUAUUAAUAAAAUACCACCAUCAAGUUUAAGUGAAAACCAUAGAUAUUCAGCGGAAGCAAAAUUAAACAGUUUCAAAACCAAAGUAUAGUAUCAAGAAAUCAAUAACACAAAUCCAUCCAGUCGACCCAUGACCGCUCCAGCUACUCCAAACAGCAAGUUCCCAAUGCAAGACAUCUAACGACCUACAAGCAUGCAAACAAGUGUGUCAGACGACGCUGGUGAGUUCAAAGUUUUGUUACCGAGUAUAGUUACCAGAUACAUGUAUAAAACAGUUUAUCAAUUUGAUUUGAUGUUGUUAUUAACUCUAUUACCGAAAUGGCUACAAGAUGUGUUUGC